UGAGGAAUAUUGGGCAAUGCCCGCAAGGGUGACCCAGCAACGCCGCGUGGAGGAUGAAUGUCGUAAGAUUGUAAACUCCCGUUAGAGGGGAAGAAUAGUACCGGUUGGACCGGUAUAUGACUGUACCCUCAGAGAAAGCCCCGGCUAACUACGUGCCAGCAGCCGCGGUAAUACGUAGGGGGCAAGCGUUGUCCGGAUUUACUGGGUGUAACGGGCGCGCAGGCGGGAUAAAAAGUCAGUGGUGAAAUCCUACAGCUUAACUGUAGAACUGCCUUUGAUACUUUUAUUCUUGAGUUCGGGAGAGAGAGACGGAAUUCCAGGUGUAGUGGUGAAAUACGUAGAUAUCUGGAAGAACACCAGUUGCGAAGGCGGUCACUUGGUCCGACACUGACGCUGAGGCGCGAAAGCGUGGGGAGCAAACA
rnacentral:rRNA from 1 species